rnacentral:rRNA from 1 species
AAGGCAUCUUCUAAGAAAGAAAGGAUUUAUUCGGUAAAAGAUGGGCCCGCAUCUGAUUAGCUAGUUGGUGAGAUAAUAGCCCACCAAGGCAACGAUCAGUAGCCGACCUGAGAGGGUGACCGGCCACAUUGGGACUGAGACACGGCCCAAACUCCUACGGGAGGCAGCAGUGGGGAAUAUUGCACAAUGGGGGAAACCCUGAUGCAGCAACGCCGCGUGAAGGAAGACGGUUUUCGGAUUGUAAACUUCUAUCGAUAGGGAAGAAAGGAAUGACGGUACCUAAAUAAGAAGCCCCGGCUAACUACGUGCCAGCAGCCGCGGUAAUACGUAGGGGGCAAGCGUUAUCCGGAAUUACUGGGUGUAAAGGGAGAGUAGGCGGCAAGGUAAGCGAUAUGUGAAAGCCUUAGGCUUAACCUGAGGAUAGCAUAACGAACUAUCUAGCUAGAGUACAGGAGAGGAAAGCGGAAUUCUUAGUGUAGCGGUGAAAUGCGUAGAUAUUAGGAAGAACACCAGUGGCGAAGGCGGCUUUCUGGACUGAAACUGACGCUGAGGCUCGAAAGCGUGGGGAGCGAACAGGAUUAGAUACCCUGGUAGUCCACGCUGUAAACGAUGAGUGCUAGGUGUCGGGGAGGAAUCCUCGGUGCCGGAGCAAACGC